UGGUGAAUUCUUACAUAGUAAAACACGUGAGGUUUUGGGAGAAUUCAGAUUGCAUGACACAUUGACCAAUGUUGUCAUCCCAACCUACGAUAUCAAGAAAUUCCAUCCAAUUAUAUUCUCAAGCUUUAAGGUGAAGGAAGUUCCCAGCAUAGAUAUAAAAUUGUCGGAAAUAAUCCUUGGGACUUCAGCUGCACCAAUUCAACUACCACCCAUUUACUUUAAGGAUGGUCCUAAUGAAUUCAAUUUGGUUGAUGGUGGUGUGGUUGCAGUUAGUCCGGUUGGCUGAGAUUUUGUACAAGGAAAAACAGCUGCGUUUGAAAAUGAAAUCGAUGGAGGAAAUGUAUUGAAGCUAUUACUUCCCCUUUUCGUUGGUCUCCAAUGAAAUAAAUGACAAAUGCAUAUAUAGACAAAUUUGUACUACAUAUGUUGCAAGUUCUCUCUAUAUGUGUGUUUUUAAUUGAUGUACUUAUGAUGUGAUCUUUUUGUAAUAUUAUUAAAUGUUUCUACUUUGUUGUAUUUCCUCGGAAAUGUAUUCAAUCUUGUUAAUUGUGUGAGUUUCUAAAAUAAGGAUAAGGAUUGGACUACAUUAUGUGUUCCUUGUAAUACUUUUGCUUAUAAAAUAUAAAUUGGA